rnacentral:rRNA from 1 species
UACAGAGGUCCCAAGCGUUGUUCGGAUUCAUUGGGCGUAAAGGGUGCGUAGGCGGCGCGGUAAGUCGGGUGUGAAAUCUCGGAGCUUAACUCCGAAACUGCAUUCGAUACUGACGUGCUUGAGGACUGGAGAGGAGACUGGAAUUUACGGUGUAGCGGUGAAAUGCGUAGAUAUCGUAAGGAAGACCAGUGGCGAAGGCGGGUCUCUGGACAGUUCCUGACGCUGAGGCACGAAGGCCAGGGGAGCAAACGGG